rnacentral:rRNA from 1 species
AGACCCGAAACCCGGUGAUCUAGCCAUGGGCAGGUUGAAGGUUGGGUAACACUAACUGGAGGACCGAACCGACUAAUGUUGAAAAAUUAGCGGAUGACCUGUGGCUGGGGGUGAAAGGCCAAUCAAACCGGGAGAUAGCUGGUUCUCCCCGAAAGCUAUUUAGGUAGCGCCUCGUGAAUUCAUCUCCGGGGGUAGAGCACUGUUUCGGCUAGGGGGCCAUCCCGGCUUACCAACCCGAUGCAAACUGCGAAUACCGGAGAAUGUUAUCACGGGAGACACACGGCGGGUGCUAACGUCCGUCGUGAAGAGGGAAACAACCCAGACCGCCAGCUAAGGUCCCAAAGUCAUGGUUAAGUGGGAAACGAUGUGGGAAGGCCCAGACAGCCAGGAUGUUGGCUUAGAAGCAGCCAUCAUUUAAAGAAAGCGUAAUAGCUCACUGGUCGAGUCGGCCUGCGCGGAAGAUGUAACGGGGCUAAACCAUGCACCGAAGCUGCGGCAGCGACGCUGAUGCGUUGUUGGGUAGGGGAGCGUUCUGUAAGCCUGCGAAGGUGGCCUGUGAGGGUUGCUGGAGGUAUCAGAAGUGCGAAUGCUGACAUAAGUAACGAUAAAGCGGGUGAAAAGCCCGCUCGCCGGAAGACCAAGGGUUCCUGUCCAACGUUAAUCGGGGCAGGGUGAGUCGACCCCUAAGGCGAGGCCGAAAGGCGUAGUCGAUGGGAAACGGGUUAAUAUUCCCGUACUUGGUGUUACUGCGAAGGGGGGACGGAGAAGGCUAUGUUGGCCGGGCGACGGUUGUCCCGGUUUAAGCGUGUAGGUGUGUGUUCCAGGUAAAUCCGGUUCACUUUAACACUGAGGCGUGACGACGAGGCACUACGGUGCUGAAGCAACAAAUGCCCUGCUUCCAGGAAAAGCCUCUAAGCAUCAGGUAACACGAAAUCGUACCCCAAACCGACACAGGUGGUCAGGUAGAGAAUACCAAGGCGCUUGAGAGAACUCGGGUGAAGGAACU